rnacentral:tRNA from 1 species
GGGGUCAUGGCUCAGUGGUAGAGCACUUGCCUUGCAUGUGUGAGGCACUGGGUUCAAUUCUCAGCACCA